CCUGUGCUACAACCGCACAGACCAGGUUUUAAGAUUUAUGCCUAGCAUAAACGCCUGUGUUUGGCGAGUCUGAGUUUAUAA
rfam:Bacillus sp. X1(2014), complete genome.